rnacentral:rRNA from 1 species
CAAGACAACUUUACGGAGUUGACGAUUGACGGAGCGAAGCGACGUCAAAGCGUUCAUUAAAGUCGAGUUGGCUUAGGGAUACGUUCGUUGGGUAGGGGAGCGUUCUGUAAGCCUGCGAAGGUGGCCUGUGAGGGUUGCUGGAGGUAUCAGAAGUGCGAAUGCUGACAUAAGUAACGAUAAAGCGGGUGAAAAGCCCGCUCGCCGGAAGACCAAGGGUUCCUGUCCAACGUUAAUCGGGGCAGGGUGAGUCGACCCCUAAGGCGAGGCCGAAAGGCGUAGUCGAUGGGAAACGGGUUAAUAUUCCCGUACUUGGUGUUACUGCGAAGGGGGGACGGAGAAGGCUAUGUUGGCCGGGCGACGGUUGUCCCGGUUUAAGCGUGUAGGUGUGUGUUCCAGGUAAAUCCGGUUCACUUUAACACUGAGGCGUGACGACGAGGCACUACGGUGCUGAAGCAACAAAUGCCCUGCUUCCAGGAAAAGCCUCUAAGCAUCAGGUAACAUCAAAUCGUACCCCAAACCGACACAGGUGGUCAGGUAGAGAAUACCAAGGCGCUUGAGAGAACUCGGGUGAAGGAACUAGGCAAAAUGGUGCCGUAACUUCGGGAGAAGGCACGCUGACACGUAGGUGAAGUGAUUUACUCAUGGAGCUGAAGUCAGUCGAAGAUACCAGCUGGCUGCAACUGUUUAUUAAAAACACAGCACUGUGCAAACACGAAAGUGGACGUAUACGGUGUGACGCCUGCCCGGUGCCGGAAGGUUAAUUGAUGGGGUCAGCGCAAGCGAAGCUCCUGAUCGAAGCCCCGGUAAACGGCGGCCGUAACUAUAACGGUCCUAAGGUAGCGAAAUUCCUUGUCGGGUAAGUUCCGACCUGCACGAAUGGCGUAAUGAUGGCCAGGCUGUCUCCACCCGAGACUCAGUGAAAUUGAACUCGCUGUGAAGAUGCAGUGUACCCGCGGCAAGACGGAAAGACCCCGUGAACCUUUACUAUAGCUUGACACUGAACAUUGAGCCUUGAU